UGUGCGUUCAUGUAAAGUCAAGUACAUUAUUUUCUAUCUUUUUAUAUCAUUUGCUUUUACUGUUCAAAUAUUUUCCUUCAGCUCUUAAACAGUGUCUAAAAUGAAGCUUAAAUAUAAAUAUUUUCAGCUUUGUUAAACUUCCAGCUGCUAUUUGAGUUUUUAAGUUUUCAUAAGCUCUCUGGCUUUCAAGCAACUUGUCUGGAGUUUUGUUACUUUUCUUGUAUCUCUCCACUUUUGCUUCUUACGCAGCUAGCUUCGUUUUUGGUGGGGUCGUGUGGGUGCAGAACGUACCUAAUUAUCCACGACCUUGUUUGGCAUAUGUUUGUGGCAACCAAGAACUUGGCCCUUUUCUUAGCCGGUUCAGUGGGUGAGCAAAUGAUGUUUGCUUAACAGCAUUUGCAUUAAUGAUGAGUUCCGGUUGCCUAGUCAUAACCCAGGCCAACUCACCUGGGCAGCGAGUCUUUCAAUGGGUCAUGCCUCAAGUCCGGUAAAUUCUGCCCCAAAACAGCGCAAGGCGUAAUUUGUUUGUGCAGCUUGUAGCUCACGCUGAAUUAUUCAUAGGCCAAGGGGUCAAGUCGUUGCGGGGAGUGAGUGGAUUGGCUGGCCUAGUACAGUGAGGGCGGCAUUUAAUUGGAUUUCGAUUUUCUACUCAUGACACGCAUCGAAACAACAACAGACGAGCGAGCAACAGCAACAAAAUGUUGCUGGCGAUUAACUUAAUUAAUGUCACACUAAUGACGGCUUAAUGCGAUUAUGCUGACAACUGCAACAGCAGCGGGGCCAGCAGCAGCUGCUAUACUCAAUGAAAUUCAGACAGAAAUAAGCUGACAGAAGUCAGCAAAUAAAUUGAAAAUGUAAUCGAAAACUGCAAAUCAAAUAUAUACCCUCGUUAAAUGCCCGGCCGGCUAA